rnacentral:rRNA from 1 species
AGAACGAACGCUGGCGGCAUGCCUAACACAUGCAAGUCGAACGCUCACCGGGCUUCGGUUCGGUGGGAGUGGCGCACGGGUGAGUAGCGCGUGGGAACCUGCCCUGUUGUGGGGGAUAACCGAGGGAAACUUCGGCUAAUACCGCAUGCGCCCGGGGAAACCCGGGGAAAGAUUUAUCGCAGCAGGAGGGGCCCGCGUCGGAUUAGGUAGUUGGUAGGGUAACGGCCUACCAAGCCUUUGAUCCGUAGCUGGUCUGAGAGGAUGAUCAGCCACACUGGGACUGAGACACGGCCCAGACUCCUACGGGAGGCAGCAGUGGGGAAUAUUGGACAAUGGGCGCAAGCCUGAUCCAGCAAUGCCGCGUGAGUGAUGAAGGCCUUAGGGGUUGUAAAGCCCUUUCGGCGGGGAAGAUAAUGACGGUACCCGCAGAAGAAGCCCCGGCUAACUACGUGCCAGCAGCCGC